GGAGUCUGGUCCGUGUCUCAGUACCAGUGUGGGGGACCUUCCUCUCAGAACCCCUACCGAUCGUUGGCCAGGUGGGCCGUUGCCCCGCCUGCGGCCUAAUCGGACGCAUCCCCAUCCACCAGCGGCGUGAACCUUUCUUCCUACUUAGAUGUCCGCGUAGGAAAACAUAGGGUAUUAAUCCGAUUUUCACCGGGCUAUCCCCUGCUGGAGGGUAGGUUGGAUACGCGUUACUCACCCAUUCGCCGGUCGCCAUCAAAAGUAGCAAGCUACUCCCAUGAUGCCCCUCGACUUGCAUGUGUUAAGCCUGUAGCUAGCGUUCAUC
rnacentral:rRNA from 1 species